GCAGUAGCCGCGGUAAUACAGAGGUCUCAAGCGUUGUUCGGAUUCAUUGGGCGUAAAGGGUGCGUAGGUGGCUUGGUAAGUUGAAGGUGAAAUCUCGGGGCUUAACUCCGAAACUGCCUUCAACACUGCUGAGCUCGAGGAUUGUAGAGGAGAAUGGAAUUCACGGUGUAGCAGUGAAACGCGUAGAUAUCGUGAGGAAGACCAGUGGCGAAGGCGAUUCUCUGGGCAAUUCCUGACACUGAGGCACGAAGGCCAGGGGAGCAAACGGGAUUAGAUACCCCCGUAGUCCCUGUCUCUUAUAC
rnacentral:rRNA from 1 species